rnacentral:rRNA from 1 species
GGAAGCGUGGCGACACGUGCAGCUGACGAAUACUAAUCGAUCGAGGACUUAACCA